AUUUGAAUUAAAGCUUUUAAAAUUAUUAUUAUUAUUAUUGAUCUUCAAAUUUUAAAUUGUAUUUUAUAGCUUUCAAUGAUUUUGGAGCUUUGAAUGAUUUUGGAGCUCGAGCUCCUUUUGUUUUAUUACUCUUUUCUGUAAAGAAUAGCUCUGAACUUCUGCUAGAGGGACAUAGGUUUGUCACAGCAAAGCUGGGUACGUGUAUUUCCACCCUUCACAUCCCUGGGGGUACAGAUUUCUAAAAUGACAAUGGGCACACCUGGCAGGGGACAAGUGACCUGCAGGCAGCCCCUGUGUCCUAGCAGAGGGGUCAGCCUGCAGCUUUUUGGGGGGGGAUGCUCAGAAGAUCUCUGCCUCCAGCAGAAUUUGCUAUAACAUCUCUAGCAGCACAUUUGGCUCUCAUCUUGCCAGAAUUAAACAGGUUAAACUCUCCAGAGGGGUUUCUGGGAAAAAACACAGACAAUGAAAGUCAAAGCCUAAUUCUUUUGAAUCUCAAAAAAGUCUUCUUAUUUCUGAACUCAGGGAAGCAGCAUAUGAGGUUUCUACUGUAUGAGAUUCAUGCUUGGAAAAGCUGUAAAAGUAAGGACAAGAGCUUGGUCCUCACCAAUUCAUAGCCCUCAGUCAUCAAAGAGAAAUGCUGGAUGGAGAACAAAGCCAAAUUUCCAGGUAUGUGCCUGCUAGACUAUCUGCACACUAAUGAUCUCUCUCUCUCACUUCCCUUCCAUAUAUUUAUGAAUGUUGCUCCUUGUUUGAUGAUUUUUUUCCAUUCGCUGUUGUCAGAUUGUCAAAACAGAUUGUGACUCUCAUAAAUGUAUUGCAAGUAAUUGCCAGAUAUUUUUUACAUGCUGUACUUGAGCUGCAGCUUAAUCAUUGAAGAUACUUCUGAAAUUUUGAUCAAACUUUUUCAUCGAUUUGAAAGCUGUUUGGACUGGAAGCAGAAAUUGUGAUACAUCUUAGUUUACAUCCAGGUCCCCAUUCCUGUUAAUGUGUACACUCAAUGUUCUGCAAUAAUAAAAUAUAAAUGAUUUUUAGGACA
rnacentral:lncRNA from 1 species